UACUACCGAUUGAAUGGCUUAGUGAGGUCUUGGGAUUGGCUUCGGGGAGCCGGCAACGGCACCCUGUCGCUGAGAACUUGAUCAAACUUGGUCAUUUAGAGGAAGUAAAAGUCGUAACAAGGUUUCCGUAGGUGAACCUGCGGAAGGAUCAUUAUCGAGUUUUGACUGGGUUGUAGCUGGCCUUCCGAGGCAUGUGCACGCCCUGCUCAUCCACUCUACACCUGUGCACUUACUGUGGGUUUCAAACUUCGCGAAGCGGGUCUCUUUACUGAGCCUGUAGAGCGGCGUCUGUGCCUGCGUUUAUCACAAACUCCAUAAAGUAUUAGAAUGUGUAUUGCGAUGUAACGCAUCUAUAUACAACUUUCAGCAACGGAUCUCUUGGCUCUCGCAUCGAUGAAGAACGCAGCGAAAUGCGAUAAGUAAUGUGAAUUGCAGAAUUCAGUGAAUCAUCGAAUCUUUGAACGCACCUUGCGCUCCUUGGUAUUCCGAGGAGCAUGCCUGUUUGAGUGUCAUGAAAUCUUCAACUUACAGACCUUUGGGGUUUGUAGGCUUGGACUUGGAGGCUUGUCGGCCGUGUUUCGGCCGGCUCCUCUUAAAUGCAUUAGCUUGAUUCCUUGCGGAUCGGCUCUCGGUGUGAUAAUGUCUACGCCGCGACCGUGAAGCGUUUUGGCGAGCUUCUAACCGUCCUCGUUUGGACAGCUUUAUGACCUCUGACCUCAAAUCAGGUAGGACUACCCGCUGAACUUAAGCAUAUCAAUAAGCG
rnacentral:rRNA from 1 species